GCUCUGCUACCUGACCUGUCUCUCUCGAGGACUGGCAAAUACUGGGGAGUUCAAAGUGGAGUUGCCCUUUAUAAGGCUCAGAGGGGAGAAGACUGGGGUGGGGACUGCAUUUUAUUGUUUUAACCUUUUCAAUGCUACCUGUCCUGUGAGAAAUGGGCAGCUACAACCCACUUGUCAUGACUGCCGCUUGAACGUUUGGAAAAAGCUACUUGCACUGAUCCAAUCUGUCCAAUCAAAAAAGCAGAAUUGAGCCAUGAUUACCAACUUGGAUUGGAUCACUGCAAUAGUCAGG